AGCGUUAUCCGGAUUUAUUGGGUUUAAAGGGUGCGUAGGCGGCCUAUUAAGUCAGGGGUGAAAGACGGUAGCUCAACUAUCGCAGUGCCUUUGAUACUGAUGGGCUUGAAUGGACUAGAGGUAGGCGGAAUGAGACAAGUAGCGGUGAAAUGCAUAGAUAUGUCUCAGAACUCCGAUUGCGAAGGCAGCUUACUAUGGUUUUAUUGACGCUGAGGCACGAAAGCGUGGGGAUCGAACAGGAUUAGAUACCCUGGUAGUCCACGCCCUAAACGAUGAUAACUCGAUGUUGGCGAUACACAGUCAGCGUCUUAGCGAAAGCGUUAAGUUAUCCACCUGGGGAGUACGCCCGCAAGGGUGAAACUCAAAGGAAUUGACGGGGGCCCGCACAAGCGGAGGAGCAUGUGGUUUAAUUCGAUGAUACGCGAGGAACCUUACCCGGGCUUGAAAGUUACUGAAUUAUCUAGAGAUAGAUAAGUCCUUCGGGACAGGAAACUAGGUGCUGCAUGGCUGUCGUCAGCUCGUGCCGUGAGGUGUUGGGUUAAGUCCCGCAACGAGCGCAACCCCUAUGUUCAGUUGCCAGCACGUAAUGGUGGGGACUCUAGACAGACUGCCUGUGCAAACAGAGAGGAAGGUGGGGACGACGUCAAGUCAUCAUGGCCCUUACGUCCGGGGCUACACACGUGCUACAAUGGAUGGUACAGCGGGCAGCUACAUAGCAAUAUGAUGCUAAUCUCUAAAAGCCAUUCACAGUUCGGAUUGGGGUCUGCAACUCGACCCCAUGAAGUUGGAUUCGCUAGUAAUCGCGUAUCAGCAAUGACGCGGUGAAUACGUUCCCGGGCCUUGUACACACCGCCCGUCAAGCCAUG
rnacentral:rRNA from 1 species